ensembl:lncRNA
GUCAGGAGUAAGGUUGAGACAGGUUUUAACAUAAGGCAAGAGCUGGGGUCAGGGUUGUGGUAGGUUCUGGGGUCAGGGUUGUGGUAGAGACUGGGGUUAGGAUUGUGGUAAAGGCUGGGGUUAGGGUUGUAGUAGAGACUGGGGUUAGGAUUGUGGUAAAGGCUGGGGUUAGGGUUGUGGUAGAGGCUGGGGUCAGGAUUGUGGUAGAGGCUGGGGUCAGGUUUGUGGCAGAGGCUGUGGUCAGGUUUGUGGUAGAGGCUGGGGUCAGGGUUGUAGUAGAGGCUGGGGUCAGGGUUGUAGUAGAGGCUGGGGUCAGGGUUGUAGUAGAGGCUGGGGUCAGGGUUGUGGUAGGUUCUGGGGUCAGGGUUGUGGUAGAGACUGGGGUUAGGAUUGUGGUAAAGGCUGGGGUUAGGGUUGUAGUAGAGACUGGGGUUAGGAUUGUGGUAAAGGCUAGGGUUAGGGUUGUGGUAGAAGGUGGGGUCAGGGUUGUGGUAGCGGCUGGGGUCAGGGUUGUGGUAGCGGCUGGGGUUAGGGUUGUAGUAG